rnacentral:rRNA from 1 species
GGAGUCUGGGCCGUGUCUCAGUCCCAAUGUGGCCGUUCAACCUCUCAGUCCGGCUACCAAUCGUCGCCUUGGUGGGCCGUUACCCCGCCAACAAGCUAAUCAGACGCAUCCCCAUCCCUUACCGCUGAGCUUUAUUCACCGUCAGAUGCCAUCUAGUGAAACUAUCAGGAGUUAAUCCGGUUUUCACCGGGCUAUGCCUGAGUAGGGGGAAGGUUGGAUACGCGUUACUCACCCGUGCGCCGGUCGCCAUCAAGAUUAGCAAGCUAAUCUCAUGCUGCCCCUCGACUUGCAUGUGUUAAGCCUGUAGCUAGCGUUCAUC